AGGUUAUGUUGCCUGUACUUACUCCAAGACAAGUGUCAUAUGCCAUAUGGUAAAGAAAAUGUAAUGAAUAUCUAAACUUGCGUCCGUAAUUAGGUUGUGUUGCCAGUAAUUUACCAAGACAAUGAGCAUAUGGUAGAGAGAAUGCAGUAAUAUCUAAACUAUGGCUUUGCGUUUGUAAGUUCGCAGGCAUAGUUGAUUCUAUAAAUGGUGAAAGCCAAUGGUGACUGGAGCACUCUUUUUU
rnacentral:misc_RNA from 1 species